rnacentral:piRNA from 1 species
UGCCAGCCAUGGAUGUCUUUCAUUC